rfam:Lepisosteus oculatus linkage group LG16, whole genome shotgun sequence.
GCCAACAGCUAUAUCACCCUGCCACUCCCAGCUGGCAGCCCACAAGCUCAGCAGGUGUGAGCCUGGUCAGUACCUGGAUGGGAGACCUCCUGGGAAAAACUAAGGUUGCUGCUGGAA